UACGUAGGGUGCAAGCGUUAAUCGGAAUUACUGGGCGUAAAGCGUGCGCAGGCGGUGAUGUAAGACAGUUGUGAAAUCCCCGGGCUUAACCUGGGAAUGGCAUUUGGGACUGCAAGGCUUGAGUGCGGCAGAGGAGACUGGAAUUCCCGGUGUAGCAGUGAAAUGCGUAGAUAUCGGGAGGAAUACCGAUGGCGAAGGCAGGUCUCUGGGCUGACACUGACGCUCAUGCACGAAAGCGUGGGGAGCAAACAGG
rnacentral:rRNA from 1 species